rnacentral:rRNA from 1 species
UGAAAUGCAUAGAUAUGUCUUAGAACUCCGAUUGCGAAGGCAGCUCACUAAGCUGGUAUUGACGCUGAUGCACGAAAGCGUGGGGAUCGAACAGGAUUAGAUACCCUGGUAGUCCACGCCCUAAACGAUGAUAACUCGAUGUUGGGGAUCUACAGCCAGCGUCCCAGCGAAAGCGUUAAGUUAUCCACCUGGGGAGUACGCCCGCAAGGGUGAAACUCAAAUAAAUUGACGGGAGG